GAUGAACGCUAGCGGCAGGCUUAAUACAUGCAAGUCGAGGGGCAGCGGGGGUAGCAAUACCCGCCGGCGACCGGCAAACGGGUGCGGAACACGUACGCAACCUUCCUUUAACUGGAGAAUAGCCCCGAGAAAUCGGGAUUAAUACUCCGUAACAUAAUGAAGUGGCAUCACUUUAUUAUUAUAGGCUUCGGCCGGUUAAAGAUGGGCGUGCGCCUGAUUAGAUAGUUGGUGAGGUAACGGCUCACCAAGUCUGCGAUCAGUAACUGGUGUGAGAGCACGACCAGUCACACGGGCACUGAGACACGGGCCCGACUCCUACGGGAGGCAGCAGUAAGGAAUAUUGGUCAAUGGACGCAAGUCUGAACCAGCCAUG
rnacentral:rRNA from 1 species